rnacentral:rRNA from 1 species
UGGGUAGCAAACAGGAUUAGAUACCCUGGUAGUCCACGCCGUAAACGAUGAGCACUAGGUGUCGGGGUCGCAAGACUUCGGUGCCGCAGUUAACGCAUUAAGUGCUCCGCCUGGGGAGUACGCACGCAAGUGUAAAACUCAAAGGAAUUGACGGGGACCCGCACAAGCAGCGGAGCAUGUGGUUUAAUUCGAAGCAACGCGAAGAACCUUACCAGGGCUUGACAUUUAGGUGAAGCGGCGGAAACGUCGUGGCCGAAAGGAGCCUAAACAGGUGGUGCAUGGCUGUCGUCAGCUCGUGUCGUGAGAUGUUAGGUUAAGUCCUGCAACGAGCGCAACCCUCGUCGUAUGUUGCCAGCGGUUAGGCCGGGCACCCAUACGAGACCGCCGGCGUCAAGCCGGAGGAAGGUGGGGACGACGUCAAGUCAUCAUGCCCCUUAUGUCCUGGGCUACACACGUGCUACAAUGGCCGGCACAAUGGGCUGCCAACCCGCGAGGGUGAGCGAAUCCCUAAAGCCGGUCCCAGUUCGGAUUGGAGGCUGCAACCCGCCUCCAUGAAGUCGGAGUUGCUAGUAAUCGCGGAUCAGCACGCCGCGGUGAAUGCGUUCCCGGGCCUUGUACACACCGCCCGUCACACCACCCGAGUCGAUUGCACCCGAAGUCGUCGGCCUAACCUUUUAGGAGGGAGACGCCGAAGGUGUGGUUGGUAAGGGGGGUGAAGUCGUAACAAGGUAGCCGUACCGGAAGGUGCGGCUG